rnacentral:lncRNA from 1 species
GAGAGUAGACAACAAAAAUGGAUGACAAACGGUUUUACAACUCGACAUUCAUGUUGUUGUUUUUCUUUGUGCAAGAAUUAUUUUAUGGGGUGUCGUCCAAUCUUGACUCUUUUUCACUCGAACUUUUAUUUAGAGUAUCACAUUAAUGCAUGAGUCUAUUUACAAGGCAAGUGCUUAUUCUUCAUUUCCCUAUUUUUUCAUUUCUUUUUCUCUUUUUUUUCGGUAGAAGCGGAUGUUUCUACACAGUUUUUCUUUUUCUUUUUCUUGCACUUUCCCUUUUUCCAACAUUUCUUCUAAGGAUUACCACCUCAAACUUAUCAUUUU